AUAUCAACUAAAAAACCGUAAACUAAGUGCAUUUCCAGUUAAUCAAAAAAUAUAAAAGCUUACUUGUUUGUGGCAACACCUGUGGCGCCACCUGCUGUUGCUGCUGAGGCGGCGGCAGUGAUUGUGGCGGCGUCCUGUCCUCAAUGGGAGUUGCUUGCUCCUCGGCAUCUUCUACAUGGUCCAUACUGGUUGGACUGUCCUCCACUGCCCCGUUGCUUGACGCAAGAGCAACAACGCCAACUCCACUUUCAUAUAUCUCCAGCGCACUGCCACUCUCAUCAACUUUCUUACCGCGGCCUCGCCCACGACCACGUCCUCGGCCACGUGCACGUGAACCACGACCACGGCCCCGACCGCGUUUUACUUCAUCAGUGUCCAUUUUAUACUUAAACAAAUAUUAAAAUAUUUUCGUUUUUU